rnacentral:misc_RNA from 1 species
CCGAGUUUACAACUCCCAAACCCCUGUGAACAUACCACUUGUUGCCUCGGCGGAUCAGCCCGCUCCCGGUAAAACGGGACGGCCCGCCAGAGGACCCCUAAACUCUGUUUCUAAAUGUAACUUCUGAGUAAAACCAUAAAUAAAUCA